UUAUUGAUGUAAUCUUGAGAGCGAAUUACAUAAGAACUUAAAAUAAUUAUAAGACACCAAGUUUUGUAACUUCAUCUCCUUUUGGAGAAGAUUCCAAUCUGAGGCGGCAGCAUAUUUAAAAGAGGUUUUUACC